GAUGAACGCUGGCGGCGUGCUUAACACAUGCAAGUCGAACGAUGAAGCCCAGCUUGCUGGGUGGAUUAGUGGCGAACGGGUGAGUAACACGUGAGUAACCUGCCCUUAACUCUGGGAUAAGCCUGGGAAACUGGGUCUAAUACCGGAUAGGAGCGUCCACCGCAUGGUGGGUGUUGGAAAGAUUUAUCGGUUUUGGAUGGGCGCGCGGCCUAUCAGCUUGUUGGUAAGGUAAUGUCUCACCAAGGCGACGGCAGGUAGCCGGCCAGGGAGGGCGACCAGCCUGGGUGGGAGUCAGGCACGGCACAGACACGGACGGGAGGAGGGAGGAGUGAAGAUUGAAGGGUGGGCGCAUGACUGAUCCAGCAAGGGUGAGGGAGGAAUGAAGGCGGUAGGGAUAUAAAGCUCUGUUGCCCAGGAGGGUAAUGACAGUACCGGGCGAAUAAGCCCCGGCUAACUUCGCG
rnacentral:rRNA from 1 species